rnacentral:rRNA from 1 species
UACUUCUUCGGACAAUAUACAAGGUGCUGCAUGGUUGUCGUCAGCUCGUGCCGUGAGAUGUUGGGUUAAGUCCCGUAACGAGCGCAACCCUUGUCCUAGUUACCAGCACGUUAUGGUGGGCACUCUAAGGAGACUGCCGGUGACAAACCGGAGGAAGGUGGGGAUGACGUCAAGUCAUCAUGGCCCUUACGGCCUGGGCUACACACGUGCUACAAUGGUCGGUACAAAGGGUUGCCAAGCCGCGAGGUGGAGCUAAUCCCAUAAAACCGAUCGUAGUCCGGAUCGCAGUCUGCAACUCGACUGCGUGAAGUCGGAAUCGCUAGUAAUCGCGAAUCAGAAUGUCGCGGUGAAUGCGUUCCCGGGUCUU